CCUACGGGAGGCUGCAGUAGGGAAUAUUGCUCAAUGGGGGAAACCCUGAAGCAGCAACGCCGCGUGGAGGAUGAAGGUUUUCGGAUUGUAAACUCCUUUUUUUAGAGAAGAUAAUGACGGUAUCUAACGAAUAAGCACCGGCUAACUCCGUGCCAGCAGCCGCGGUAAUACGGAGGGUGCCAGCGUUACUCGGAAUCACUGGGCGUAAAGGGCGCGUAGGCGGGAUAGCAAGUCAGAUGUGAAAUCCUAUGGCUUAACCAUAGAACUGCAUUUGAAACUGUUAUUCUAGAGUAUGGGAGAGGUAGGUGGAAUUCUGGGUGUAGGGGUAAAAUCCGUAGAGAUCAAGAAGAAUACUCAUUGCGAAGGCGGCCUGCUAGAACAUAACUGACGCUGAUGCGCGAAAGCGUGGGGAGCAAACAGGAUUAGAUACCCGAGUAGUC
rnacentral:rRNA from 1 species